ACACUGCAUGGAAAACAGCAGCCUCUACACCAGGAAAUGACUACAUACCAAUCUUGGCUGCUCAUCUCUUAGUCACUUUAACCCUCCAACUAAUUCUUUGGCUGCCUUUCGGAAAGAACAGUAAACCUGUCUCUGGGGUGCAGCAGGAGAAAGAUGCAGCACUAUUGGUCAGUGGAGUCCCAUCCUCCUCAGUACUGAGCUCCUUUAUCCAGGCUUCCCAUGUUGCCUACAACCUCCUGAUUCAGAGUCUUGCAUCAUUUACCCAUGUCAUGGAGAGAUUUGUACCUGAUAUUUGACCUUACAUUACUAUUGUUCUGCUCCAGCAUGGUAUUUAAGUAGGCAUUGCCAGUUUGAUGCUGAGUAUUGCCUCUACAAGGCCAGCAUCCAUGUGACUGCUUCAUGACCAUAGCCCACCGUUGGGGUCAGGCUUACAAGUAAACCUUGAUCAUCACCAGGAGCUCUAAUGACAGCCUCUGGUGCAGAGUGAAGCAAUGGUCAGUGCAGGGUCUGAACUGGAUUCCAGAACACCUUCCAGGUAGGAAGCAACUCACUGACUUGACAAGAGGAAAUGAACUCAACAGAGACUCCAGGGUACUAAUCUGUGUGAAUCAUGCACCUGAAGGUAAGACUGAAUACAGUAAGUAUCUGUGUGUGGUAGAAGAUGAGUCUCUGAAGCCUGGUCUUGAUGUGGUGAAAUGAUCCCAUGAAGUGCCCUGUGCCAGCAGCCCUGACACAGAGGGAAAGUUAUCAUUGAUUUGCUCAACUGAAGAGCAAUGGGAGACUGAGAGACUGCAGAGGUGUGACAAGGGAGGAACCAGCUUCUCUGCUGUAGUCAGCCUCCAGCUCCACUCUGAUCAUCUGACCCUGGCCUGUUAGCAAAGAUUGAUGAAUAUUAAAGGCUUUGUCCAGAUCUUCCCAGCAGGAUGAUGGCCAGGGUGUGCUGUCACUUACUUCUACAUCCCUGUCUAAAUCUAUGUUCUGACUAGGCUGGAAAUCUGUGUCCUGUGUGAUGAUAUGUUAGGGCUACAGGUUCCAGUAUCCCAUGUGCACACAAGAAGACCCAGUCAGCUUGAUUAUAUAUAUAGAGAGAAUUUUUUUUAGGUUUGUGGGUAUCACCUGGUGUCAGACUAUGUUUCUGUGGCCUAUCAGUGAAGGAAGGAUUUAAGACAUGGUUGAGGAGUCUGUUGAACUCUAGAAAUGAGAUAUGGAAAUUUCCUGAAUACUUAUUUGAUAGUUUACUUUUUUUGAGAUUGGUUCUCACUUUAUAGCCCUGGUUAUCUGAGAAAUUCUGUAUAGAACAUGCAGCUCUCAAACUCACAGGGAUUGACCCUCUUCUCUGCCUCCUGAGAGCAUCAUUUACAGAUAUGGACUCCCAUGGCUGGCUUCAAGUACUGGACAGCAUCAAAUGUAAAUUUCUCCAAACAUUUGAGGCAGAAGAAGACAAUUCUGCGCUUCUUUCAUCCUGACAGGGUCAGGGAUUGAACUGAAGGUUCUGUCAUCCAGGAUGGACUACAAACAGCAGCAAAGUCCAAAUCUAACCUUCAGGAUAGAAGUCUAUGUCCACCAGUGAACAGACACCUGGAGGAUCCCCACCUGCAGUCCAGGCACAAAUCCCAUGACUUCAACCUGACCAAUCAGGAGAGUUCAGAUUGGCUACCUGGUCUGAUGGAGAGUUCUUUCCAUUUGAGCCAUGAGAGCACAGCUGAGGACUCAAGGUGGGUCACUGAGACAAUUGGUGCCUGUCUUGGGAUG